CAUCUCUGUUAAUUCCGGUUGAUCCUGCCGGACCAGACUGCUGUUGGAGUUCGACUAAGCCAUGCAAGUCUUCCGGAAGGAGGCGAAAGGCUGAGUAACACGUAGGUAACCUACCUUAUGGAGGGGCAUACCCUCGGGAAACUGAGGAUAAUUCCCCAUAGGAUUUGGUGACUGGAAUGUCCCAAAACCCAAAGCUUCGGCGCCAUAAGAUGGGCCUGCGGCCUAUCAGGUUGUUGGCGGGGUAAUGGCCCACCAAGCCUUUGACGGGUAGGGGCAGUGAGAGCUGAAGCCCCCAGACGGGCACUGAGAUACUGGCCCGAGCCUUACGGGGUGCAGCAGGCGCGAAACCUUUACAAUGCACGCAAGUGUGAUAAGGGAACUCCAAGUGCCAUUGCUUUUUGCGAUGGCUUUUUUUGAGUGUAAAUAGCUCUAAGAAUAAGAGCUGGGUAAGACAGGUGCCAGCAGCCGCGGUAAUACCUGCAGCUCAAGUGGUCUGGAUUUUUAUUGGGUCUAAAGCGUUUGUAGCCGGACUCGCAAGUCUUCUGUGAAAUCUGACGGCUUAACCGUCAGGCGUGCAGGGGAAACUACAAGUCUAGGGACCGGGAAGGGCCAAAGAUACUCUAGGGGUAGGGGUGAAAUCCAAUAAUCCUUAGGGGAUCGCCAGUGGCGAAGGCGUUUGGCUAGAACGGGUCCGACGGUGAGGGACGAAAGCUAGGGGAGCGAACGGGAUUAGAUACCCCGGUAGUCCUAGCCGUAAAUGAUGUGGACUAGGUGUUGCAUUCCCCUUGUGGGAAUGCAGUGCCGAAGGGAAGCCGUUAAGUUCACCACCUGGGAAGUACGGUCGCAAGGCCGAAACUUAAAGGAAUUGACGGGGGAGCACAACAAGGGGUGGAGUCUGCGGUUUAAUUGGAUUAAACGCCGGAAAUCUCACCGGGAGCGACAACAGUAUGAAGGUCAGGCUGACGGUCUUACUCGACUCGUUGAGAGGUGGUGCAUGGCCGCCGUCAGUUCGUGCCGUAAGGUGUUCUGUUAAGUCAGAUAACGAACGAGACCCAUGCCAUUAGUUGCUAUCUGUUCCUUCGGGGGCAGAGCACUCUAAUGGGACCGCUGCUGCUAAAGCAGAGGAAGGUGUGGGCAACGGUAGGUCAGUAUGCCCCGAA
rnacentral:rRNA from 1 species